AGCGAACGUUAGCGGCGGGCCUAACACAUGCAAGUCGAACGCGAAAGGUCUUCGGACUGAGUAGAGUGGCGCACGGGUGAGUAACACGUAGGUAAUCUACCCUUUGGCGGGGGAUAACGUUCCGAAAGGAGCGCUAAUACCGCAUAAGACCACGGAGUCUCCGGACGCUGUGGGAAAAGGUGGCCUCUUCUUGAAAGCUACCACCGAAGGAUGAGCCUGCGUCCCAUCAGCUAGUUGGUAAGGUAAUGGCUUACCGAGGCGAAGACGGGUAGCUGGUUUGAGAGAAUGAUCAGCCACACUGGCACUGGAACACGGGCCAGACUCCUACGGGAGGCAGCAGUGAGGAAUAUUGGGCAAUGGGCGAAAGCCUGACCCAGCCACGCCGCGUGAGUGAUGAAGGCCCUCGGGUCGUAAAGCCCUGUCGGGAGAGACGAAGAAAGCCUGUGAAGAGCAGGCCUUGACGGUAUCUCCUUAGCAAGCACCGGCUAACUCCGUGCCAGCAGCCGA
rnacentral:rRNA from 1 species